AGGUCACGGUGUGGGCAAUUUCUUAGUAGACUUUUGUACCUCUCCCAUGUCUCAUAAAGGGACUAUCCAGGUUGUUGUUCAAAGUUGGUUAUAACUUUCUUCAAUUU